GCUUUGUGCAGUCUCAUUUCCUGGCUGAGAAGGUCCCGAGAUACCAGGCUGACUGGAAGCUCCCACACAGCCCAUUUCUGGGACCUGAGGGCGCAAGGCUCCACAGAGGAAUACCGGCGGGGAAUGCAGUGGAGACCCCCAGGAAGGUGUCUCCAAGCAGAAGGGAGAGAGAGGCCGUGUCUCAAAACUCCAGAGGCUUCUGAAGUCCUUCUGGAGAGUUAAGAAAAUCGGAGCUCAUGUGAAAGCAUUCUUGUCAUACAACUGCCUUCCAAUGGCAUGACCACGGAAGGAGAACAGCUCCUCACCAAAGCAGCCAUGAUGGAUUCUGACAUUUUCGAAGUUAUUAAAGAAUGUGCCACACCAAAAAAAAAAAAAAAGUAAAGAGAGAGAAUAGCAAAUUAAUGGGGACAUUUGGAGGAGAAAGGACAUGUAACCAUAACACACUGCUGGGCUUGGGAGUCAACAAUCCUUAAGUGCUCCAGGACAUUGGUGUGCCCAGUGGAAGUUUCCUACAAGGGGUGACAGCUCUGGACAGGGCAUCAGGUGCCUGUGUGCUCACUGCAAGUCUGCCCCUGGUCGGCUAUAUGAUCUUGGUCAAGCUGCUCUGUCUCUCUGGGUCCAGCUAGACAAGAUGCUCACUGAGUCCCCUCCUGACUCAUUUGUGAUUUUAUAAGGGUUGCCUGGUACAUGCUUUCUGAAGGGGAGAGCAAGGGGAGGAGGAACCAAUGCAGAGACUCACCACGGACCUGAGUCUUGGCAGGGAGGAGAGAGCAGAGGGAGCCUGGGGCUGAGGAAGACUGGGGGCAGGGGUGCUAGAGAUGCCUCUCUUCUUUCACAAACCUCCUGUGCUGGCCUGCUCCCGGAGUGCUGUCCAGAAAGCCUCUUCAAGAAACCCAUUACAAGUGACCACAAAGAAUGCCCGUUCCAAGACAUGCAUUCUGAGGGAGGUGUGCACCAAAGCUUUAGUGGGCAGGAAGCUACCCCACCACCCAGCUCCAGCACUGCUGGGAGCUGAUUCCAGCCCAGCCACUCCUCAUGGCUUUUAUAUGGCCCUGCUGGGCCCUGGCGAUCUGGUUUGAAAAUCAUGGUUCUAUCUCAAUCCAAUCAAUGGAAAACUGAAUUUCAAGUGUUAUCUCCCCUCAAACAAAAAACAAAACAAAAAAACAACAAAAAAAACAGGGUGAAAAAGAGCACACAGUGGCUCUCAACACAGCUUUCACCUUCCUCCCUGGAUUCUGCCAUUCCUGGAUGUGCUUACACAGAGCUGGCUGCUCGGAUUUCCCCUAGUGAAUGCAACCAGUUACCGGACUGCGACAGGUGCAUGGACCCCAGCACCUUCUCUCAAACACCCACGCUUGGAGGAAAACGUGGCAGCUCUCUCCCCAGCUGGGGCUUGGCCUGGGGUGCCCACCCUCUUUCUCAUUAAGCAGCCCUUCAUCUGAGAGGUAAGAAACUCAAGUUCAUCCAGCGUGUGAACCUGCAAUGUGGGGUGUGCUAAGAUCCAGGCGGGCUAAUGAUCACUAACAAUGCUCCCUAUCCAACCCAGCAAGGCACACAAGGACAAAACCCCACCUACGGAUCCAGCUGCAUGCCUGAGUUUUGAGUACACAGCCAAAGAAAAAAGCAUGCUCAGGUUGUCCAGAAAAAAAAGGAAACCUGAAAAAAAAAAAAAAACCACAAUAGCGAGAAAGGGGGUCUAAGUUUCCUCGGAGGUCCUCAACUGUCUGUAGAAGUGCCCCACCCAGAACCCAAAAUAAAAUGAAGUAACCCCGCCCCUGGUCAGGGUCCUGUCUUUUUUAUUAUCCAGACACACGUAUCAGAGCCUGCUAACAUCCAGUUGUGGGAAGAGCAGCAAGCAGUACACCAGGAGCCACAGGAAGAGAAUAAAAUACAUCAUAUCCGGCUGCUGGACAAGCUGUGUCAGGGAGUCACUCUGCGGGCUGUGGCUCCCCAGUGACAUGGCUUCUCCUGAGCUGUUGGCCUUCCUACAGAAGAAACACAGAGGAAACGCAGUUACCAAGCAGGUUCCCAGGAAAGUGGACCCCACCCAGUGCUACCCGUCUCUCCCCGGCCCCCACUCCCCGCCUGAAGACCCGAAGGCUCCCCAGCACCAUGUCCAGGUAGGCCCCACACUGUGUGUACUGGCCCAAGGCAGUGCGUCGGGCCAUCCAGGCAGCCCCUCGAGCUUUUGCACGUACUCCGUUCAUCUCCAUAACAUCAGGUGAGAGGAGGUGGCAGCCCCAUUCUGCAGAUGGACACACUGAGGCUUUCGGGGUGGAGUGACUUGCCCAAGGCCAUGCAAUUAACUUGGCGACAGAGAGGGCGCCUAGGCCAGGUCUCCUGGGACACCUUUCUUGAUGCCACAGUGCUCUCAGAGAGUGACACGGAGUUAGAUACUGAUCGCUUGCUGCUGUUUGUUAGUAACGCAGGGGACCCCAUAGGUCAUCUAAGGGAUGAAGUGUCCCUAAUAGCAGAUCAUUUUAAAUCAUCUAUCAGAAAGAAACAAAGACCUCUCCCAUUCCCCACAGUUUUGUUUUGGCUUUGGAAUAUUACCUUUAAAAUAAUUACUAGAUUUGAUUUCAGUCAGAUUUACCUUCCUGCUUUUAUUUUAUAGGUGGUAGUGUUAAAAUGUCAUUUCAGUUUUGCCUGGCGGAUCAUAGGGAAGCCCAGAAGGUUUUGCCUGGGGCUGGGGCCUCUGCUUGGAGCUGCAUGUAGAGAAGCCUGCAGUGUAAGCCUCUUAGGGUGGUUUCGUGCGGUGUAAUGGAGAUUACGAGAGGCUAAAACCACUUGUCCCAGAACUAUCUCCUGAUAGCAGGAGCGAGGGGCAGGGUGGGAUUAAACAUCUGCCACAGUCUACAUACUGAAUGAUAAAUACCCACAUGAUGGUCUUCUUUAAAAAGCUGUCCACAGAAACAAGUUAAACUAUAUACUUUUUAUAGAGACACGGUCUCUCUGUGUUGCCCAGGCUAGUCUCAAACUCCUGGCCUCAAGCAGUCCUCCCUCCUUGGCCUCCCAAAGUGCUGGGAUUACAGGCGUGAGCCACCAUGCGCAGCCUAAACCAUAUUUUUUAUUAUAAAGGUAAUAAAUGCUCAAUGUAGACAACUGAAAACACGACUGCAUUUCUCAACUUUACAGGUUCUAUUUUCAACGCCUCUAUCUCAUAAGAGCAAAAAGGAUUAUUUUCCUAUGAGCAUAUCCAGCCUGGUGGAAAACUUGAAUUAGUAUUUCCAUUUCAUGGCAGGGGAAAGGAGCUGUCUUGCUUCUUUUUUAGCAGCCAGAGGGAUGGGGUUCUAAUGACCACACUCUUGGGUGUUGGGUAAUAUUCAGACAGAGGCUUCCGAUUCCAGUAAUCUAAAUCCUUCCAAGCCAAUUCAAAUCUGUGGCGAGUAAAUAAAAUUUUUUAAAAAUAAAAACAUAAUAAAGCAACUCUAUGACUUCAACAGGAAUGGGGACGUCUCAGAAUUGUAAGAAUUUGAGACGUUUUUCUGGUUUCCUAUGUUUUAAAUGGGCAGGUUUCCAGCAAUUCAGCAACAUUAGGCCAGGCCAACAGUUCUCCGACAGCAAGAAAUACUUUCAUAGACAUCCUGGCAUGUUUGCUUUCCCUCUUCAUGUCUGCUCUGAUGCCAUAAAACUGUAAAAUCAGCUCAGUAAGCUUCUGAGUACUGUACCUGCAGUGGCAACAGAGAAUGGACAGGCGUCAGGGGCUACAGCAUUCACAGGGGCCACACAGCCUCACAAGACCACCACCUCUUCUCCUGCCUGGCCGUCCCUUUGCUAACUACCCUAUACCACUAAACCACCCUAUACUCUAUACCACUCAUUUAAACACAGCUGCAGGCUCAGAACCCAGACCCGUCUUUAAACUGACUCAUUUUCGGAACCGGGCCCUAACCAUCAGUGUUAAUUAAUAUCUACUUUUCCUUUCUACUCAUAUUCAAUUUACAUCAUUUUCUCUGGAAUAGUUAUUUUCUUGCAUUAUCC
rnacentral:lncRNA from 1 species